GCCCAGUAGUGGGGGAUAGCCCGGCGAAAGCCGGAUUAAUACCGCAUACGACCUGAGGGUGAAAGCGGGGGACCGAAAGGCCUCGCGCUAUUGGAGCGGCCGAUGUCAGAUUAGGUAGUUGGUGGGGUAAAGGCCUACCAAGCCUGCGAUCUGUAGCUGGUCUGAGAGGACGACCAGCCACACUGGGACUGAGACACGGCCCAGACUCCUACGGGAGGCAGCAGUGGGGAAUUUUGGACAAUGGGCGCAAGCCUGAUCCAGCCAUGCCGCGUGCGGGAAGAAGGCCUUCGGGUUGUAAACCGCUUUUGUCGGGGAAGAAACGCUCUGGGCUAAUACCCUGGGGUAAUGACGGUACCCGAAGAAUAAGCACCGGCUAACUACGUGCCAGCAGCCGCGGUAAUACGUAGGGUGCAAGCGUUAAUCCGAAUUACUGGGCGUAAAGCGUGCGCAGGCGGUUGUGCAAGACAGAUGUGAAAUCCCCGGGCUUAACCUGGGAACUGCAUUUGUGACUGCACGGCUGGAGUGCGGCAGAGGGGGAUGGAAUUCCGCGUGUAGCAGUGAAAUGCGUAGAUAUGCGGAGGAACACCGAUGGCGAA
rnacentral:rRNA from 1 species